UACAGAGGGGGCGAGCGUUAUUCGGAAUUAUUGGGCGUAAAGGGCGCGUAGGCGGCUUUUCAAGUGACGGGUGAAAUCCCUCGGCUUAACCGAGGAACUGCCUGUCAGACUGGAAGGCUUGAGACCGGGAGAGGUGAGUGGAAUUCCCAGUGUAGCGGUGAAAUGCGUAGAUAUUGGGAGGAACACCAGUGGCGAAGGCGGCUCACUGGACCGGAACUGACGCUGAGGAGCGAAAGCGUGGGGAGCAAACAGG
rnacentral:rRNA from 1 species